CCUACGGGGGGCACCAGUAGGGAAUCUUCGGCAAUGGACGAAAGUCUGACCGAGCAACGCCGCGUGAGUGAAGAAGGUUUUCGGAUCGUAAAACUCUGUUGUUAGAGAAGAACAAGUAGGAGAGUAACUGCUCUUACCUUGACGGUAUCUAACCAGAAAGCCACGGCUAACUACGUGCCAGCAGCCGCGGUAAUACGUAGGUGGCAAGCGUUGUCCGGAUUUAUUGGGCGUAAAGCGAGCGCAGGCGGUCCUUUAAGUCUGAUGUGAAAGCCCUCGGCUCAACCGAGGAAGGUCAUUGGAAACUGGAGGACUUGAGUGCAGGAGAGGAGAGUGGAAUUCCAUGUAUAGCGGUGAAAUGCGUAGAUAUAUGGAGGAACACCGGUGGCGAAAGCGGCUCUCUGGCCUGUAACUGACACUGAGGCUCGAAAGCGUGGGGAGCAAACAGGAUUAGAUACCCCCGUAGUC
rnacentral:rRNA from 1 species